rnacentral:tRNA from 1 species
GAAAAGGUAAUUUAAAUAAAAAUAUUGUAUUUCAAAUGCAAUUAUAAGAUGUGUCUUCCUUUUUG